GUCUUUUUGGUUAUUUAAUAUAAAGUCUGACCUGCCCACUGAAUUUAUUUUGAAGGGCCGCAGUAUUUUGACUGUGCAAAGGUAGCAUAAUCAUUAGUCUUUUAAUUGAAGGCUGGUAUGAAUGGUUGGAUGAGGUACAAGCUGUGUCAUAAAAAUUAAUAGUUGAAUUUACCUUUUUAGUCAAAAGGCUAAAAUGAAAUUAAAAGACGAGAAGACCCUAUAGAGCUUUAUAUAAUUUAUAUUUAAAUUAUUAAGAUUUUUUAAAUUUAAUUAUUAUUUUGUAUUUUGUUGGGGUGACAAUAAAAUUUAUAAAACUUUUAUUUUUAAUUUACAUUUAUUUAUGGUUACAUGAUCCAGUUUUAUUGAUUAUAAAUUUAAGUUACCUUAGGGAUAACAGCGUAAUUUUUUUUGAGAGUUCUUAUCGACAAAAAAGAUUGCGACCUCGAUGUUGGAUUAAGAGUAAUUUUGGGUGUAGAAGUUCAAAGUUUAAGUCUGUUCGACUUUUAAAUUCUUACAU
rnacentral:rRNA from 1 species